rnacentral:rRNA from 1 species
GAUGAACGCUGGCGGCGUGCCUAAUACAUGCCAGUCGAGCGAACAGACGAGGAGCUUGCUCCUCUGACGUUAGCGGCGGACGGGUGAGUAACACGUGGAUAACCUACCUAUAAGACUGGGAUAACUUCGGGAAACCGGAGCUAAUACCGGAUAACAUGUUGAACCGCAUGGUUCAACAGUGAAAGACGGUUUUGCUGUCACUUAUAGAUGGAUCCGCGUCGCAUUAGCUAGUUGGUAAGGUAACGGCUUACCAAGGCAACGAUGCGUAGCCGACCUGAGAGGGUGAUCGGCCACACUGGAACUGAGACACGGUCCAGACUCCUACGGGAGGCAGCAGUAGGGAAUCUUCCGCAAUGGGCGAAAGCCUGACGGAGCAACGCCGCGUGAGUGAAGAAGGUCUUCGGAUCGUAAAACUCUGUUAUUAGGGAAGAACAAAUGUGUAAGUAACUAUGCACGUCUUGACGGUACCUAAUCAGAAAGCCACGGCUAACUACGUG